UACAUGGGGUGCAAACGUUGCUCGGAAUUAUUGGGCGUAAAGCGCACGUAGGCGGUUCGUUAAGUCGGAUGUGAAAGCCCUCGGCUCAACUGAGGAAGUGCACCCGAAACUGGCGAGCUUGAGUACGAAAGAGGAUCGCGGAAUUCCCGGUGUAGAGGUGAAAUUCGUAGAUAUCGGGAGGAACACCGGUGGCGAAGGCGGCGAUCUGGGUCGAUACUGACGCGUGAGGUGGCGAAAAGCGUGGGGAGCAAACAGG
rnacentral:rRNA from 1 species